GGUAAGCAUGUAACGGACGGUGCCCCGGCGACGGGGUGAAAAGGGAAUGCGGUGAGACACCGCGGCUGCCCCCGCAACUGUAAGCGGCGAGCCUUCGCUCCAAAUGCCACUGGGCGGUGAUGCCCGGGAAGGCGGUAGCGCAAUGCAUCGACCCGCGAGCCAGGAGACCUGCCGUCAUCGUGCAACCCAA
rnacentral:ncRNA from 2 species